CAGGUCCCGGUGGAGAUCUUCGCAUGUAUCUGGAGAAACUCGUUUUUGCAGAUGAUGUUGAGUGCUACGUUCGCAACAAUCCAUUUGGUCAACCUUUUCUUACACAUAGUGAUCCACAUUGGGACUUCUAUGCUGAAAUAGCUGGUAAAGAGUAUGGCGCAUUGACUUGUGCCUGAACUUCCCAAUAUGUAGUGAGGCGGACUAGUAGACUGAUCUUGUGUUGAUUCUUCAGACAUGAGGGGAAGUUAUGGCAUGUUUGUUGUAUACCUGACCUCCAAACUAAUUUUAUCGUGGGUUAUGGAAAAAGUUGGUGCAUCGAAGAUUGGAUUUUGGGCACCAGCAGUUAUAACUUGUACGGAUGGUUUCAAGUGAAUAUGAAUGAAUUUUGAGACGGUGACUCAACUUUUUAAAAUUGUUUGUCACCGCCUUGUAUUUGUUCAGUUUUUCUUCCAGUUUUUUAUGUUUUUUUCCUACCAGGGCAUUGCUGUGGGUUUGUCUUGUACUUUUAUUUCUUGUACCCAUUUUCUUGCUAGCCUUAACGGCACUACUCCAGUGUUUAUUCCAUUUGUUUUGAAUUGCUUAAAAAAAUCUAGUACUAGAUAACAUCUACACCACUUCUAAAAAAUAGUAUUGCUGCGGAGUGCGAUUUUCCCAUGUGUUUGAACUGCUCUUUGGCAAAAAAAAAAGGUUAUGAUCUACAGAACAUGUAUGGAUUCAUCUUUGUGACAUGUAAUGUUUAUAUGUGUGUUUUAGGAGUUAGUCAAAUCAUAACAUAAAUUCGCCAAACAUGAAAUCAAAGAUCGCAAAGCUAUAUUCACGCAGACGAGAAUAGCGCAAUCCAACUAUCAUAAACUUAAACUUAAUUAAAUGAUAUUAUCAUCUAUGAUAGAAAAUAAUAAUAAUUUUUUUUAGAAAAUUGAACCAGCCUGUUUGUUUCUCUUAAUAUUAUCAGCCAUUUUAAUUAUGGACAAAAGCUUUGUACAAAUAAUUCCUCCCUUGACACAUUUGUUUUUCAUUCCAGAUGACAUUGUCUUUUUGAAGGUCAUCAUUUUCAUUCUGCUAGAACAUACUCAUAACUAAUAUUUGGAGUAUUUUUAGUACUCUAUUUACAACAUUUGGCAUGUUUUUUUAAUCCACAGCCCGUAUGUUUUUUUUUUGAGAAAAAUCCACAGCCCGUAUGUAUAUCAGACAAAAUCAUUCAGCAAGCCCGUCAGCGCAGAAUAACAUUUUCUAGCCUCAUAAAGCCUUUUAAACCUAAUAAGCCUAGCCCAUCUAACACUACGGCCCGGACCGGACAGGCCCACCAACUGGCCCAGGCAAGACACCCUAAACACGGAGAUCUAUAAAUACGAAACCCUAAGCGGCGCACUCGUCUCCAUUCCGCCUCCACCCCCCGAACUCCAAACCCUAGUAGCGCCGCCGCCGCCAGGUAAGAGGCGAGAUGGUGUCCGGCUCCGGCGUGUGCGCCAAGCGCGUGGUGGUGGACGCCCGCCACCACAUGCUCGGCCGCCUGGCCUCGAUCGUCGCCAAGGAGCUGCUCAACGGGCAGCGCGUGGUGGUGGUCCGAUGCGAGGAGAUCUGCAUGUCCGGCGGCCUCGUCCGCCAGAAGAUGAAGUACCUCCGCUUCCUCCGCAAGAGGAUGAACACCAAGCCCUCCCACGGCCCCAUCCACUUCCGCGCCCCGGCCAAGAUCCUCUGGCGCACCAUCCGCGGGUACGUCUCCGCCGCCGCCGCCUAGAUCCGUCGCCUCGCCUAUGCACGUGCGUCGCCGUGUCCAUUUGGGUUUGUGUGUUCUGAUGGUGCCGUGUUUUUGGUGGCGCUCUGCAGUAUGAUUCCGCACAAGACCGCGAGGGGCGAGGCCGCGCUCGCCAGGCUCAAGGCGUACGAGGGCGUGCCGCCGCCGUACGACAGGACCAAGCGCAUGGUCAUCCCCGACGCGCUCAAGUACGUCGGCGUUCGACUGCCUUCUAGAUCUCUGCGUGCGUCGUGUAUGUGUGUUUGAUGUUGACGUGGCUUGUGGUUUUGCAGGGUUCUGAGGCUGCAGCCUGGGCACAGGUACUGCCUCCUCGGCCAGCUCUCCAAGGAGGUCGGAUGGAACUACGCCGACACCAUCAGGGUAUGCUCUUUCCCUGUCCUGUUUCUUCAGCGCUCAAUAGUUGCUAGUGUGCGACUGCUACCAGUCUGUUAAGACUAGUCUUUUAUGUAAUGCUAAACUAAAAUGUGUCUAGUUAUACUAAUCAUUCUAUGAAAGUUCAGUCUGAUUUACUGGUACUCUAAUAGAUACGCCUUCAGCUUUUGUCAUAUAAACUCUCCUGGUGGUAAAUGAUUUGUUCUGCAUUGUAAAACUGUUUAUGAUGAUUCCCACGGAUUUUAGAAACCAGCCACAGUUCAUGCUUUAUAGUACUGUGAAGAAUUUUGUUUGCUCACGCUCAGAAUCAUUGUUUUACGUAUGUCACUUGUGAUGUUCUGCUGGCUGAGAUGUGCAUGAUCUGGGUGAUGAAGAAAAUCGUUCGGAUUCCCACUGAUUUUUCAUGAUUAUUACAACCAGCUACUUCUGACGGAUCAUGCCAUCUCUUGUACUACAUAUGUACUCAUUUAUUAUUGAGCAAAUACUUUCCUUUGAUUUUUUGCAAACCUCUUAGCAGUACUGUUGGUAUCCUCUUUUGUGUUCUGCUGGCUGGUGAGAUGUGCAUUACCUGCGUGAUGAAGAAAAUCGUUCGGAUUCCCACUGAUAUUUCAUGAUUAUUAUAACCAGCUACUUCUGACGGGUGAUGCCACCUCCUGAAGUACAUUUGCACAUUUUUACUGCUUUAGACUGACUUUUCAUGCAUUCCUUCAUUGGUUAUGAACCUUAUUGCUCAUUGUGUUCUGUUGUGUUGAAUUGCAUGAUUCCGGGUUAUGAAGAAAAUCGUUCGGAUUCCCACUGAUAUUUCAUGAUUAGAGUAACCAGCUACUUCUGAUGGAUGAUGGCAUCUCCUGUAUUACAUUUGCACUGCUUUAUGACUGGCCGUACAUGCACUUCUUAUUUUGGUUGGAACCUUCUUGCUCUUUGUGUUAUAUUGGGUUCCAUUGCAUCCUUCUGUGUGAUGAAGAAAAUCGUUCGGAUUCCCACUGAUUCUUAAUGAUUAUCACAACCAGCUACUUCUGACAGAUCAUGCCAUGUUGUGCUCUUGAUAGAUUUUGCUCUGUUUUGGGUUUCAGUUUUGCAUCUCAUUCAACAGUUUUGCUGGUGUUCUAUUUUCCUUCGAGCCUGUGAUGUUAUCAAAAUAUUUGCUACUCUUGAUGGGUUUAUCCCACUUGAUGAUCUCAACCACCAAGAUCUCUGAGGCUCUUUAGUUCUAGUCUAAUGUUAUCAUUACAGUACAUCUGCCAUUGCCAGUUUUUGUUCAUUAUGAGCUGAUGUUUGUGCAUACCGAUUCUCAUCACUCUUUGGCCUUUAUUCAGGAGCUGGAGGAAAAGAGGAAGGAGAAGGCCAAGAUCUCCUACGACAGGAGAAAGCAACUGGCGAAGCUCCGCGUCAAGGCCGAGAAGGCAGCCGAGGAGAAGUUGGGAACUCAGCUGGAGAUCCUGGCCCCUAUCAAAUACUAAGAGAUAUCAGAGCUUUCGUGCGCCAUCAGUUUUGGGAAACCUCUGUCGUAUUUUAAGUAGUUUGGUAACUCUGAUAGUACAAUCUGGUUGGUAAACCUUUGUUAUGCAUGCAGUUCUGCGACACUCAUUUGAAAUUUUCUACAUGGUGAACUGUUUCGUUUAUCAAAUGUGUGCAUUUGGGAAUUCUAGUGAACGUCUAUCAGGUGCCUUGCUGUUUUUCUCUUUACUACGGCCUUUGCAGUCCCUUGUUAUGACCCUUUGUACAUGUCGUUUGCGGCCAUCAUAGUCGUCUCUACGCCAAGUUGGUAAAGUCUACUGUCACUGCGUCAAGUUCCAUCAAAGCGCGUCAAGUAAUGUGUUUUUGCUGGGUAUUUCUCGGUUUGAGCUCUGUAUGAAAUAUGGGCUUACUUAAUUGAAAAUCAAACAUAUAUGAAAUUUAGUUGAACAUUUGAAUUUAAAUUCAACCACAACCGAUGCUGCGCGGUCCUAAUUUUUUACAAUCGCCGUUAUAAAGCGGCCAUCCAAAGCAGACCUUGCGACGCCCCUCUCUGACUAACAUGCCUUGUAAACCUCCUCUACUCUCAAUCUUCUCUUAGCACCACACUCUUGAUGGCCUUCUCAAGCUCCAAAGCCUUGCGGGAGGACCUCUCGUCCGAAAUGAAAGAGGAGAUCGACGCCAUUGUAGAGCUCACCGGAGACCGAUGCCGUGAACGCGCCAAUGGCAGAGGCGUCCCGCGUCGGCCUAUGCAGGCAUCGAGAAGGCGGAGGUUGUAGGCUUGGCCGGCAUGCGCGUGCCGAAAUGUGGCCUUUCGCUCCUCCUUGUUGGCCGAUUAGCCGCUUGUAGGCUGCGGCGGCGGAGGCUGCAGAGGCAAAGAUGAAGGCUGCAGCGGCGAAGCUUGAGCUUCAUUUUUUGAGGUUCAUGGCUGGCGGGAUAUGGGAAUGGGCGCCGACGAUCACUUAGACUAGGUUAGAGUACAAUUUAGUUUAAAGAAAAUCUGAAAUGUAAUGAAUUUGGUCAGGUUUAUAUGAAAAUCAGCCGGUUUGCAUGAGUUUUCUCUGACCUGUUGAAAUGCAUUUUGAAAUGUAUGCGGAUAGCAUUGGAUGGCCGGCUCACGCAUUCAUGUCCGCGGAUGGAUGUGUUGUCCGAUUUACGGGUCAGCGUUAGAGAUGCCCUUAUGCAAUAUCGCACAUGUGGUCAUGGUACGCCACAAGUCUUUUUAUCCCAAAAGCGUACAAGACCACAAACAAUGGUAAAGCGAGCUUUGGGAGCCCAAAUGCUUUCUACAUGCUUCUUGUCUCUUGUUUGAUAUAUUCUAAACAAAAGUUAUAAUAUCCCAUGUUGUAUUGAACGACCAUUGAUUUCAAAAUUCACAGGAGGUGCCUCACCAACAAAAAGCCUUGAAAACAGGUGAGAUCUUCGUAGAACAUUCAGAUCAUUAUUAGAUCCUGUCAAUCCAAAAUAUUAAUAUCAAAUCCACAUGUCAUUUGAUACCACAACUUCUAGAAUUAUAGUUGCAUCUUUACUUUCUCCUUUGAAUUGUCCAUGUAAUGUUGUAGGGCAAAUAUUCUACUUUCAAUGCAUGUAAUCGGUACAUCCAAGCUUUCCCGGAAAGGCUUUUGAACCCAUCUCAAGAAUUCUUGCGAUGUCCUCUUCAUUUGGAGCUCAAAGAUAUUCUUCUCCAAAUAUCUCAAUGACGGGCUUCGUUAUUUUUUCCAAACUAUCAAUGCAAGUACUUUCUACCGUUCCAAUCCAAUUAUCAAUAGAAUUAGUUGUACAUUCGUAUGCAAGCAUUCUCACGGCUGCACAAUUCUUGUUCAUACUAUUGUGACCUUGUUGACCAGCUGCAUUUCUUCUUUAUUGAAAGAACGGACAAUGUUCUUCAACGUCAUGCGCAAUGCGUACGAACAACCUCAUUGACAUACAAAAUCUUCUCCUAAAAGUUUUUGCACCAUAUACCAGACUCUCAUCAAAGUAAUCAUCCAAUAGCUUCUCGUGACCGGCUUACUUGUUCUGACGGAGUACAAGAUGACUUGGCAUUGAUCCUCCCCACUUUGGCUUCUUGUUUCGUGUUUGCAUACAUAGCCAUCACAAGAUCAAUCUGUUCAUCCUCGUGCUUGACUCGUCGAGAAACGAUCGAACAAAACCAUUCAUCUACAAUCAAUAAGAAAAACUAUGAUCAACCACAAUGUCAUACAAAUUUUCUUGAAACAUAAAAAAAA
rnacentral:lncRNA from 1 species